rnacentral:rRNA from 1 species
ACGCGUGGAACCUUACCAGGUCUUGACAUCCUCUGACACUCCUAGAGAUAGGACGUUCCCCUUCGGGGGACAGAGUGACAGGUGGUGCAUGGUUGUCGUCAGCUCGUGUCGUGAGAUGUUGGGUUAAGUCCCGCAACGAGCGCAACCCUUGAUCUUAGUUGCCAGCAUUAAGUUGGGCACUCUAAGGAGACUGCCGGUGACAAACCGGAGGAAGGUGGGGAUGACGUCAAAUCAUCAUGCCCCUUAUGACCUGGGCUACACACGUGCUACAAUGGACGGUACAAACGGUUGCCAACCCGCGAGGGGGAGCUAAUCCGAUAAAACCGUUCUCAGUUCGGAUUGUAGGCUGCAACUCGCCUACAUGAAGCUGGAAUCGCUAGUAAUCGCGGAUCAGCAUGCCGCGGUGAAUACGUUCCCGGGCCUUGCACACACCGCCCGU